GAUGAACGCUGGCGGCGUGCUUAACACAUGCAAGUCGAACGGUGAAGGCGGAGCUUGCUCUGCUGGAUCAGUGGCGAACGGGUGAGUAACACGUGAGCAAUCUGCCCCUGACUCUGGGAUAAGCGCUGGAAACGGCGUCUAAUACUGGAUACGAGCUGCGAAGGCAUCUUCAGCAGCUGGAAAGAACUUCGGUCAGGGAUGAGCUCGCGGCCUAUCAGCUUGUUGGUGAGGUAACGGCUCACCAAGGCGUCGACGGGUAGCCGGCCUGAGAGGGUGACCGGCCACACUGGGACUGAGACACGGCCCAGACUCCUACGGGAGGCAGCAGUGGGGAAUAUUGCACAAUGGGCGAAAGCCUGAUGCAGCAACGCCGCGUGAGGGACGACGGCCUUCGGGUUGUAAACCUCUUUUAGCAGGGAAGAAGCGAUAGUGACGGUACCUGCAGAAAAAGCGCCGGCUAACUACGUG
rnacentral:rRNA from 1 species